rnacentral:rRNA from 1 species
GACGAACGCUGGCGGCGUGCCUAAUACAUGCAAGUUGAGCGAUGAAGAUUGGUGCUUGCACCAAUUUGAAGAGCAGCGAACGGGUGAGUAACGCGUGGGGAAUCUGCCUUUGAGCGGGGGACAACAUUUGGAAACGAAUGCUAAUACCGCAUAAAAACUUAAAAAAAAGGUUUAAGUUUUAAAAGAUGCAAUGGCAUACCCAAAGAAGAAUCCCGGGUGGUAUUAGCUAGUGGGUGAGGUAAAGGCUCACCAAGGGGAGGAUACAUAGCCGACCUGAGAGGGUGAUCGGCCACAUUGGGACUGAGACACGGCCCAAACUCCUACGGGAGGCAGCAGUAGGGAAUCUUCGGCAAUGGACGAAAGUCUGACCGAGCAACGCCGCGUGAGUGAAGAAGGUUUUCGGAUCGUAAAACUCUGUUGGUAGAGAAGAACGUUGGUGAGAGUGGAAAGCUCAUCAAGUGACGGUAACUACCCAGAAAGGGACGGCUAACUACGUG